AGCGUACACGGUGGAUGCCCUGGCAGUCAGAGGCGAUGAAGGACGUGCUAAUCUGCGAUAAGCGUCGGUAAGGUGAUAUGAACCGUUAUAACCGGCGAUUUCCGAAUGGGGAAACCCAGUGUGAUUCGUCACACUAUCAUUAACUGAAUCCAUAGGUUAAUGAGGCGAACCGGGGGAACUGAAACAUCUAAGUACCCCGAGGAAAAGAAAUCAACCGAGAUUCCCCCAGUAGCGGCGAGCGAACGGGGAGCAGCCCAGAGCCUGAAUCAGUGUGUGUGUUAGUGGAAGCGUCUGGAAAGGCGCGCGAUACAGGGUGACAGCCCCGUACACAAAAAUGCACAUGCUGUGAGCUCGAUGAGUAGGGCGGGACACGUGGUAUCCUGUCUGAAUAUGGGGGGACCAUCCUCCAAGGCUAAAUACUCCUGACUGACCGAUAGUGAACCAGUACCGUGAGGGAAAGGCGAAAAGAACCCCGGCGAGGGGAGUGAAAAAGAACCUGAAACCGUGUACGUACAAGCAGUGGGAGCACGCUUAGGCGUGUGACUGCGUACCUUUUGUAUAAUGGGUCAGCGACUUAUAUUCUGUAGCAAGGUUAACCGAAUAGGGGAGCCGAAGGGAAACCGAGUCUUAACUGGGCGUUAAGUUGCAGGGUAUAGACCCGAAACCCGGUGAUCUAGCCAUGGGCAGGUUGAAGGUUGGGUAACACUAACUGGAGGACCGAACCGACUAAUGUUGAAAAAUUAGCGGAUGACUUGUGGCUGGGGGUGAAAGGCCAAUCAAACCGGGAGAUAGCUGGUUCUCCCCGAAAGCUAUUUAGGUAGCGCCUCGUGAAUUCAUCUCCGGGGGUAGAGCACUGUUUCGGCAAGGGGGUCAUCCCGACUUACCAACCCGAUGCAAACUGCGAAUACCGGAGAAUGUUAUCACGGGAGACACACGGCGGGUGCUAACGUCCGUCGUGAAGAGGGAAACAACCCAGACCGCCAGCUAAGGUCCCAAAGUCAUGGUUAAGUGGGAAACGAUGUGGGAAGGCCCAGACAGCCAGGAUGUUGGCUUAGAAGCAGCCAUCAUUUAAAGAAAGCGUAAUAGCUCACUGGUCGAGUCGGCCUGCGCGGAAGAUGUAACGGGGCUAAACCAUGCACCGAAGCUGCGGCAGCGACGCUGAUGCGUUGUUGGGUAGGGGAGCGUUCUGUAAGCCUGUGAAGGUGUGCUGUGAGGCAUGCUGGAGGUAUCAGAAGUGCGAAUGCUGACAUAAGUAACGAUAAAGCGGGUGAAAAGCCCGCUCGCCGGAAGACCAAGGGUUCCUGUCCAACGUUAAUCGGGGCAGGGUGAGUCGACCCCUAAGGCGAGGCCGAAAGGCGUAGUCGAUGGGAAACAGGUUAAUAUUCCUGUACUUGGUGUUACUGCGAAGGGGGGACGGAGAAGGCUAUGUUGGCCGGGCGACGGUUGUCCCGGUUUAAGCGUGUAGGCUGGUUUUCCAGGCAAAUCCGGAAAAUCAAGGCUGAGGCGUGAUGACGAGGCACUACGGUGCUGAAGCAACAAAUGCCCUGCUUCCAGGAAAAGCCUCUAAGCAUCAGGUAACAUCAAAUCGUACCCCAAACCGACACAGGUGGUCAGGUAGAGAAUACCAAGGCGCUUGAGAGAACUCGGGUGAAGGAACUAGGCAAAAUGGUGCCGUAACUUCGGGAGAAGGCACGCUGAUAUGUAGGUGAAGUCCCUCGCGGAUGGAGCUGAAAUCAGUCGAAGAUACCAGCUGGCUGCAACUGUUUAUUAAAAACACAGCACUGUGCAAACACGAAAGUGGACGUAUACGGUGUGACGCCUGCCCGGUGCCGGAAGGUUAAUUGAUGGGGUCAGCGCAAGCGAAGCUCUUGAUCGAAGCCCCGGUAAACGGCGGCCGUAACUAUAACGGUCCUAAGGUAGCGAAAUUCCUUGUCGGGUAAGUUCCGACCUGCACGAAUGGCGUAAUGAUGGCCAGGCUGUCUCCACCCGAGACUCAGUGAAAUUGAACUCGCUGUGAAGAUGCAGUGUACCCGCGGCAAGACGGAAAGACCCCGUGAACCUUUACUAUAGCUUGACACUGAACAUUGAGCCUUGAUGUGUAGGAUAGGUGGGAGGCUUUGAAGUGUGGACGCCAGUCUGCAUGGAGCCGGCCUUGAAAUACCACCCUUUAAUGUUUGAUGUUCUAACGUUGACCCGUGAUCCGGGUUGCGGACAGUGUCUGGUGGGUAGUUUGACUGGGGCGGUCUCCUCCUAAAGAGUAACGGAGGAGCACGAAGGUUGGCUAAUCCUGGUCGGACAUCAGGAGGUUAGUGCAAUGGCAUAAGCCAGCUUGACUGCGAGCGUGACGGCGCGAGCAGGUGCGAAAGCAGGUCAUAGUGAUCCGGUGGUUCUGAAUGGAAGGGCCAUCGCUCAACGGAUAAAAGGUACUCCGGGGAUAACAGGCUGAUACCGCCCAAGAGUUCAUAUCGACGGCGGUGUUUGGCACCUCGAUGUCGGCUCAUCACAUCCUGGGGCUGAAGUAGGUCCCAAGGGUAUGGCUGUUCGCCAUUUAAAGUGGUACGCGAGCUGGGUUUAGAACGUCGUGAGACAGUUCGGUCCCUAUCUGCCGUGGGCGCUGGAGAACUGAGGGGGGCUGCUCCUAGUACGAGAGGACCGGAGUGGACGCAUCACUGGUGUUCGGGUUGUCAUGCCAAUGGCACUGCCCGGUAGCUAAAUGCGGAAGAGAUAAGUGCUGAAAGCAUCUAAGCACGAAACUUGCCCCGAGAUGAGUUCUCCCUGACUCCUUGA
rnacentral:rRNA from 1 species